AACAUAUUUUAGCUAGAGUUUUUGUAAUUAUUGAUUUAAAGUAUUUAUUGUUAGCCAUUGGAAACUGGGAUUGAGAAGCACAUACUUGUAUGAGACAUUCUUUUUUAUGAUAAUUUCUUUGUUUAUCAAGGCUCCUAGGUCCAAGUCAUUGAGAGUACCCCUUAAGGAGUUUCUGUGAAGGUACAUAGUUAACUUCUUUGGUGUCAGUGUUAAAAAUGAAGCAACCUUAAUAAUCAAGCUUUUCUUUAUAGACUUGAGAUUCUAUUGUGCUUAGAUUUGACCAGUCUUAUUUUUUACUUUCUUCCAGAACAACUUUGUUGGUUGCUACCUAGAAACUGUUGUUCUCUCUGGCCUUAAUUUCAUUUUUUCUUGAUAACUCUUAUCUUUCUGGUGGAUCCUUUGUUAUAUUUAAUUUUAACUGACAGAUAAUGUUAUAUAUUUAUGGGGUAUAGUAUAAUAUUUCUAUACAUGUAUACAGUUUAUAGCAGUCAAAUCAGAAUAAUUAGCAUAUUAAUUACCUGAAACUUUUGACUCAAACUUACUGAAUUUUUGGCUCUCACAAUCUGUUUGUUUUAUGGGUUUUUAUUGUUUUUUUGCUAUCAGUCAACCUUAGUCUCUCUCCUGUCUACUAUUUACUUUGAUGUAUUUCUUUAGCUUGUCUCUUUUCUGUUUAGUUCUUAUCAGUACUUUGCUUUAGUGUCAUGGCAUCUUUGUACCCUGUCAUCUUCAAACCAGAGUUAAUGUGACCAUUGAGCUUCCUCAUGCUGUGGGUGAGCUACCUCAUACCAUAGCAGUCUCAGCUGGUCCUCUUUGUUUCUGGUUCCUUUUACUCCAUACGGGUAACAUCAGAUUUUCAUUGUUCUUAAGCUGCAUAACCAGUCAUCUGUUGCUUAGUGGGUUUUUUGUUUUUGUUUUUUUGUGACCCACAAAGGAAAAAUAUAUACCACCUGGCAGAAAACAAGGUUCGUGGUAGUGAGUGAGUAGUGAAGCUAUAAAUUCUUGUGUUCUUUAAUAUCUAGUACAGUUUCACUGUUGGUGGAUAUUCAGUAUCUUUGAUAUUUGUAUAAUUUAUUUUCAGAAUUUAUACUAUCUUAAUUUGUAAGGGAUUUGAAAUAGCUCAGAGGAAAAACAUAUCAAAUAAUGAAACAAAUUGAAAUUUCCCUUCAUGUACAUAAAGGCAAGUGUAAAUAAAAAAGUAGUUAUAGUGAAAUUUUGAGGUCUGGAGAUUUAUAUAUCUUAGUACUUUGAAAAAUCUAAGUUUAAUGAGUGGUAGUAUCGGUGGAAUGUUCUUAUUUGUCUUGUUACUCUGUACCACUUCUCAUUAUGGAUAAUAUCUUAUUAUCUAGAUUUUCUGUGAAUUCAUUCAGUCCAGUAACUCAGGUUCAGAUUAGGGUGAGGCAGUAAAGCUUGUCCUAAAAUGCUAUUUUUCCAAGGUAUUACAUUUUAUUAGGAAUAUUUAGUAUUACAAAGCUACCAGCUAAAAAUGGAAUUUUAUAGGCCCUUCAUGCUGUGGGUCUAUCCAUGCCAAAGGACACAUUUAAACACUAUUCUGCUUAAAUGGUUAUGUUUUGAUCUGCGCUGUUUCGUUGUUAUGCCCUCUUUUAUCUCAAUCUCCACUCCAUUAUUUACUUUUUUAUCUUUAUCCUUUUAAUUAAAGGAAAAAAAAUAGGAUAUAUUAUAGUAACCCACUUUGACUUUUCAUUACCUUGAUUUAAAGCCCUGUAUUACUCUCACCAUCUGGUUUUUAACUGAUGUUCCCCUAUUCUGUUUUGCUGGAUAGUAUCAGGUUCGAAAGUUUAGGCAUCAGCUGUGAAGAUAAUGAGAUUCAUUAUGACGCCCAUUCUUGUUGACUUUUAUCUACUUUUGAAGACCUACAAUGUCUCCAAUGUUUUGGUUUUGUCGGUUUUAUUCUUUACUGUUUUGUUCAAUUGUAUUAUAACUAACGAUAUAGGCAAUUCUAUUAGAGAUAGCGGGAGGCAUUAUGGUAACCAUUGUUGAUCACCUUGUAUUAUGUUUUUAUAUCAUCUAUUAUGUCCACCCUUUUGACUUGACCGAUUCUGUUCUGUUAUGUCACAUUUGGUUUUACUCUCUUCCAAAAAAGCAAUAAGAACCGUGGGAGCAAUGAAACCCAAAAUGUGUAAUAGUCAUGGUACAAAAGAGAGGAAAAGAAAGUGCUCCAAACUAUAUAACUGCAUGUAUAUUUAAGUGUAUAAGAUAGAAAA